rnacentral:lncRNA from 1 species
CGCGAUUCUAACCUAACUUUGUUUGUUAUUGUUUGAAUUUUGAAUAUUUUAAAUUCAGUUCCAACAUAUAUUUUUUGUUUUUCUAAUUACAACAAAAAUGUAUGAAGAAGUAAAAGCAUUUUUAGAGUUUAUUGAUAAUAUUGGAGAAGAAAAUCGCCCGGGAAGUAUACAAAAGCGAUAUAUUCAAGAUAAAAAUAUAAUCUAAAAUACAAUGGAGUAUUACAAUAUUGAAGUUCAUCAGCGAAUCAGCGCAUUAACUUAAACAAUAAAGGUUUUAUGCUACUUAUAGGAAUAUAACCAGUUUUUAUGAGGACCCCGCUUUCCAAAAAUGUACAGGUACUAGAAGAGAAAUUAUGUGUAUUAUUGUUCAACAACAAGGUUAUCAAGUCAUUCAAUAUUUGAUCUAAGAGCAUUAAGAGUGAAAUUGUGAAAUGGAAAGAAGUGAAAUUCCAGGAUUAUUAAUAGGAAUAGAUGACAGUAGUGGGUAUGCAUGCAGACACUAUCUACUUACCCCAGUAUUACACCCAGGUAAUGAUCAAGAAAAUAAGAUUUUUACCAUAGUACUCAUGUGAGAACAAGAAAUGUAGAAAAGCUAUUUGGAACCUGGAAAAGAGUUUCCUUGUCUUCAACAAGGUCUACAAACCAAAUUAUAUACAUGUCUUGCAAUAAUAUGUGCUACAGCAGUACCUUACAAUCUAGGUAAAUAAUGAUCUGGUGGUAAAUAGACAUGUUAAUGAUGUGGAACAAUUUCUAAAUUUUUGGUGACAUUUUUUUCAACAAUAUUUUGCAUGAGAAUACAUUAUUGAAUACCUACUCUUAUUGUGUUUGAUUUUUUGUCUAUUAUUUCUCAAAAUAUCAUGAUCAUUGUUCGACAGCCCUUUUUGUUUGAGUUUUGGUCUCUUGAGGAAUACAGCUCCAUUCCAAUCUAUUUCAGGAUUUGUUCUUGCAAUUUUUUAUUUUUAAAAUAUCAAUGUCUUAUUCUGUUUGUUCCUUAUAUCUAAUCUAUAGUCUUUCUCUCGUUAUAUGUCCAGCUGACAUUUGUGUGUUUAUUUUGGAAAGUAUUUCAUAUGCUUCCAUCCUUCCUCUUAGAACGUGGUCCUAUUUUGAUGAAUGCAUAAUAUGGAUCGUGGUAUGCCCUGUAUAGUUCAAAAUUAUAUUUCAUAUGCUUCUAUCCUUCCUCUUAGAAUGUGGUCCUAUUUUGAUGAAUGUAUAUGAAUCGUGGUAUGCCCUGUAUAGUUCAAAAUUAUAUCUUCUCUGGUCUUCAUAUUUUAGAUGCUAUUUAGCCUGAUUCUAGUGCUUUAUCGUUGUUUCCAGUGCUUUAUCAAUUUAUCAUCAUUUAUUUUACCUACCUGUCUACUGCUACUCUACUAUUGUACUUUCACCAUAUAUUUUUGGAAUAUAAAUAUACCUUCUGUCUUUCUCUUGUUCAACUGGAAUUUGUUUAUUUAUUCUGAGAAUACAUUAUUGAAUCUGUAUUAUGUUAGAUAUAUUAUUUUUUAUUUUAUUUCUUAAUAUGUAUUUUUUAUAUUUUAUUUUAAAAUAAAUGAGUAUGAGUUUCCCUCUUCUUAAAUAA